rnacentral:lncRNA from 1 species
CUGCUGCGGUGGUUCGCGCAGGCGGAGCUGAUGCACGGGCGGUGGGCGAUGCUGGCGGCGGUGGGGAUCCUGAUCCCGGACCUCCUGGCGCGAUGGGGCUUCAUCGACGCCGGCUUCUCGUGGUUCGACGCCGGGUCCCGCGACUACUUCGCCGACCCCUGGACGCUCUUCGUCUCGCAGAUGGCGCUCAUGGGGUGGGCGGAGGGCCGGCGGUGGGCGGACCUCCUCAACCCCGGCUGCGUCGACAUCGAGCCGGACUUCCCCAACCGCAAGAAGCCGGUGCCCGACGUCGGGUACCCCGGUGGGCUGUGGUUCGACUGGGCCAACUGGGGCCGCGGGUCACCCGAGCCCGUCAUGGUGCUGCGCACC